rnacentral:rRNA from 1 species
GACAGAGGUGCCAAGCGUUAGGCGGAAUCACUGGGCUUAAAGCGUGUGUAGGCGGGCGAUCAAGUACCUUGUGAAAUCCCAAGGCUCAACCUUGGAACUGCCUUUGAUACUGGGGAUCUUGAGUCCGGGAGAGGUGAGUGGAACUGCGAGUGUAGAGGUGAAAUUCGUAGAUAUUCGCAAGAACACCAGUGGCGAAGGCGGCUCACUGGCCCGGUACUGACGCUGAGGUGCGAAAGCGUGGGGAGCAAACAGG